rnacentral:rRNA from 1 species
AAUCAACGCUGGCGACGUGCCUCAGACAUGCAAGUCGAACGAUUAAAGCUCUCUUCGGAGAGUGUAUAGAGUGGCGCACGGGUGAGUAACACGUAAGUAAUCUACCUUUGAGUGGGGAAUAACGUCCGGAAACGGACGCUAAUACCGCAUAAUGCAGCGGCAUCGCAAGAUGACAGUUGUUAAAGAUUUAUCGCUUGAAGAGGAGCUUGCGGCAGAUUAGCUAGUUGGUAAGGUAAUGGCUUACCAAGGCUACGAUCUGUAACCGGUCUAAGAGGACGGUCGGUCACACUGACACUGAAUAACGGGUCAGACUCCUACGGGAGGCAGCAGUAAGGAAUAUUCCCCAAUGGGCGAAAGCCUGAGGGAGCGACGCCGCGUGCGGGAGGAAGCCUUUCGGGGUGUAAACCGCUUUUGUGGGGAGUGACAUGGGCUGUAUGAAAGUGCAGCCAUACGACAGUACCCGCAGAAUAAGCCUCGGCUAACUACGUGCCAGCCGCC